rnacentral:rRNA from 1 species
AGUGAACGCUGGCGGUAGGCCUAACACAUGCAAGUCGAACGGCAGCACAGUAAGAGCUUGCUCUUACGGGUGGCGAGUGUCGGACGGGUGAGGAAUACAUCGGAAUCUACUUUUUCGUGGGGGAUAACGUAGGGAAACUUACGCUAAUACCGCAUACGACCUACGGGUGAAAGCAGGGGAUCUUCGGACCUUGCGCGAUUGAAUGAGCCGAUGUCGGAUUAGCUAGUUGGCGGGGUAAAGGCCCACCAAGGCGACGAUCCGUAGCUGGUCUGAGAGGAUGAUCAGCCACACUGGAACUGAGACACGGUGCAGACUCCUACGGGAGGCAGCAGUGGGGAAUAUUGGACAAUGGGCGCAAGCCGGAUCCAGCCAUACCGCGUGGGUGAAGAAGGCCUUCGGGUUGUAAAGCCCUUUUGUUGGGAAAGAAAAGCAGCAGGUUAAUACCCCGCUGUUCUGACGGUACCCAAAGAAUAAGCACCGGCUAACUUCGUG